rnacentral:lncRNA from 1 species
UUCAUUCUUUUAUUUUAUAAAUAUUAAACAAGCAUCCCUUAUGUUUCAGGCACUGUGUAAGGGACUAAGGAUGUAGCAAUAAACAAGACAGGCAAAGGCUGUUCCCCAGUGAUGCUUAUGUUACAGUGUUAGAAGACAGAGGAAUAACAAAUACACAAAAUAACUGUGGAUUAGGGAUAACAAUGAAACAAUUUGGGUGGUAAGACAGCAGAUAAUUUGAGGAACAGAAGGUCUGGCUGGAGUACAGUGGGUGGGGGAGAACGGACUGAAUGAUACUGGAGAGGGAGCAGGAGCCAGUCCAUUGUAAAUAGCUUGGAUUUUAUUCUAGCUGCAAUGGAAAGCCAUUGAAGUGUUUCAGCAGGGUGAUGGCAAGAUGUACUUUACUAUUUUUUUUUUUUUUUUGAGACAGGGUCUCACUCUGUUGCCUAAGGCUGGAGUGCAGUGGCACAAUCCCAGCUCACUGCAGCCUUGCCUUCCUGUGCUUAAGUGAUCCUCUCACCUCAGCCUCUCGAGUAGCUGGGACUACAGGCAUGCACCACCAGGCCUGGCUACUUUUUGUAUUUUUUGUAGAGAUGGGGUUUUGCUAUGUUUCCCAGGCUGGUCUCGAACUCCUGGGCUCAAGUGAUCCACCCACCUUGGCCUCCCAGAGUGCUGAAAUUACAGGUGUAAGCCACUGCGGCUGGCUGCUUUACUGUUUUACAUUACUCUGAUUACUUUGUGAAAAGUGGGUUGGAGGGUAAGCAAUGAAGGCAGCAUGCCAAUGGACUCUACUUCUUGUACAUAACUUUUCUGGAGGCUCACUCAGUGACUGCCUGCCUCCCUUGCCUGACCUCUCGUUGGCCAAAACUGAAUCUGGUGGCCAGCCUUAGCUGCAAGAGAUCCUUGGAAUGUAAUUAUUUUAGGCACAGGAAGACAAGGGGAAAAUGGCUUGUGAAUGUCUUUUGGGUAGGCAAUCCACAGUAUCUGCCACUAGGGUCAUCUGCACUGUAUCUGAAACAAGCCUGUGAAAUAGACGAGGCAAGUCUUAUUUGAUUAAUCUAUAAAGGGGGAGGAUGGUUAAAGAGCACAAAGAUCAUAGGUAAUAGAGCAAGGGCUUGAGUCCAGAUCUUUUCAUCUCAGAUUGAAUGUACUCUCUCACUACCUUUCAUUAUUCUAGGCCCCACAAUGAACUGAUCCUGGUCACACAUGU